rnacentral:rRNA from 1 species
AUUGAACGCUGGCGGCAGGCCUAACACAUGCAAGUCGAGCGAGCGGCGGACGGGUGAGUAAUGUCUGGGAAACUGCCUGAUGGAGGGGGAUAACUACUGGAAACGGUAGCUAAUACCGCAUACCAUCAGAUGUGCCCAGAUGGGAUUAGCUAGUAGGUGGGGUAACGGCUCACCUAGGCGACGAUCCCUAUCUGGUCUGAGAGGAUGACCAGCCACACUGGAAUUGAGACACGGUCCAGACUCCUCGUGGAGGCAGCAGGGGGGAAUAUGGCACAAUGGACACAAGCCUGAGGCAGCCAUGCAGCGUGUGUGAAGAAGGCCAUCGGGUUGUAAAGCACUUUCAGCGGGGAGGCGUUACCCGCAGAAGAAGCACCGGCUAACUCCGUACCAGCAGCCGCGGUAAUUC